rnacentral:rRNA from 1 species
UAAGGAAUAUUGGUCAAUGGGCGGAAGCCUGAACCAGCCAUGCCGCGUGCAGGAAGACGGCCCUACGGGUUGUAAACUGCUUUUAUACGGGAAUAAACCUCACUACGUGUAGUGAGCUGAAUGUACUGUAAGAAUAAGGAUCGGCUAACUCCGUGCCAGCAGCCGCGGUAAUACGGAGGAUCCAAGCGUUAUCCGGAUUUAUUGGGUUUAAAGGGUGCGUAGGCGGCCUGUUAAGUCAGGGGUGAAAGACGGUAGCUUAACUAUCGCAGUGCCCUUGAUACUGAUGGGCUUGAAUGUACUAGAGGUAGGCGGAAUGUGACAAGUAGCGGUGAAAUGCAUAGAUAUGUCACAGAACACCAAUUGCGAAGGCAGCUUACUAUGGUAUGAUUGACGCUGAGGCACGAAAGCGUGGGGAUCAAACA